CAGCCGCCGCGGGAAUACGGAGGGUGCAAGCGUUAAUCGGAAUUACUGGGCGUAAAGCGCACGCAGGCGGUCUGACAAGUCAGAUGUGAAAUCCCCGUGCUUAACCUGGGAACUGCAUUUGAAACUGUCAGGCUGGAGUCUUGUAGAGGGGGGUGGAAUUCCAGGUGUAGCGGUGAAAUGCGUAGAGAUCUGGAGGAAUACCGGUGGCGAAGGCGGCCCCCUGGACAAAGACUGACGCUCAGGUGCGAAAGCGUGGGGAGCAAACAGGAUUAGAUACCCGGGUAGUCCCUGUCUCUUAUAC
rnacentral:rRNA from 1 species